rnacentral:rRNA from 1 species
CUGAGUACUACACUCUCUACCCUUUGUGAACUAUUAUACCUGUUGCUUCGGCGGCGCCCGCAAGGGUGCCCGCCGGUCUCAUCAGAAUCUCUGUUUUCGAACCCGACGAUACUUCUGAGUGUUCUUAGCGAACUGUCAAAACUUUUAACAACGGAUCUCUUGGCUCCAGCAUCGAUGAAGAACGCAGCGAAACGCGAUAUGUAAUGUGAAUUGCAGAAUUCAGUGAAUCAUCGAAUCUUUGAACGCACAUGGCGCCUUCCAGUAUCCUGGGAGGCAUGCCUGUCCGAGCGUCGUUUCAACCCUCGAGCCCCUGUGGCCCGGCGUUGGGGAUCUGCCACGGCAGGCCCCUAAAACCAGUGGCGGACCCGAAGGGCCCUCUCCUUUGCGCAGUAGCAUUCGCCUCGCAUUGGGAGUCCUCGGCGUCCUGCCUCUAAACCCCCCACAAGUCCGCUUCGGCGGCACCAAGGUUGACCUCGGAUCAGGUAGGAAUACCCGCUGAACUUAA